UGGGGAAUUUUGGACAAUGGGCGCAAGCCUGAUCCAGCCAUGCCGCGUGCGGGAAGAAGGCCUUCGGGUUGUAAACCGCUUUUGUCAGGGAAGAAAUCUUCUGAGUUAAUACCUCGGGAGGAUGACGGUACCUGAGGAAUAAGCACCGGCUAACUACGUGCCAGCAGCCGCGGUAAUACGUAGGGUGCAAGCGUUAAUCGGAAUUACUGGGCGUAAAGCGUGCGCAGGCGGUUUUGUAAGACAGAGGUGAAAUCCCCGGGCUCAACCUGGGAACUGCCUUUGUGACUGCAAGGCUUGAGUGCGGCAGAGGGGGAUGGAAUUCCGCGUGUAGCAGUGAAACGCGUAGAUAUGCGGAGGAACACCGAUGGCGAAGGCAAUCCCCUGGGCCUGCACUGACGCUCAUGCACGAAAGCGUGGGGAGCAAACAGGAUUAGAUACCCUGGUAGUCCACGCCCUAAACGAUGUCAACUGGUUGUUGGGAAGGUUCCUUCUCAGUAACGUAGCUAACGCGUGAAGUUGACCGCCUGGGGAGUACGGCCGCAAGGUU
rnacentral:rRNA from 1 species